GCUCUCGUGGUGAAAUGGAUAUCACGUGGCCCUCCGGAGGCCAAGUUACAGGUUCGAUCCCUGUCGAGAGCGCCA
rnacentral:tRNA from 1 species